rnacentral:lncRNA from 1 species
UGUUUUCACUUGCAUAUUAUCAGAUUGAUAUCUACAUUUGCUGAUAUAUCAUGAAAUCCCAUGUAUAUGCAGCAAAGAGUAUGAAGAUAUCUCCAUAAAGGCGAAAUCAAGGUUUAACAUCUCUCUCCGAAGCCUCUCACAACCCAUGUCACUUAAGGAGAUAGCAAGGACUUGGGAUAUUUGUGCUCGUGCUGUUAUUUCUGAGUAUGCACAGCAAAGUGGUGGAGGAAGUUUUAGCUCGAAAUAUGGGACUUGGGAGAACUGCUUGACUACAGCAUGAUGAUGCUUCUUAUUUGUUCGUCUCCAGUUAAAACUUUAUGGAUAUUGAAGAAGAUAUUCUUCUGUAUUUAUAUUUAACCUCACUCCUGGAACGCUGGACAUGUAAAUAUAGGUUUUGUAACUCUCCUGCAAGUCAUAUGAAUGCGCAAAGACUCAAAUGUGCAGUACAUUUGUAAAUGUUUAUUUUUCUGAUUUGGUUUUUAACUGUUCUGGUGAAGUUAAAUAUGUUCUAUUUAGAAAUCUGAACAUAUGAAGCAGAAGUUUUUCACAGUUGAUUUCUAUUCUGUAGUAAAUUCUGGAAUGCGAUGGUCCAAGGGAACCCAGUUAUACCUUUUGACAAGGAGUGUAAAUAAAUAGAAUUAAGUGUCUAAAUAGACUUGGACAUCUUCUGGGGGAACAUAUAUUUUGGCUCGAGCUCGACUUUAAUUUUUAAAUGAAGGAAUUUUGAAUUGAUUGGGUUGGGUCGAUAAAUUGUUGGUGGUCACUAAAAUUUUAGUGGAAUUU